GUACUUGAAGCGCAAUGGGUACCGUUUUGGACUUCUAAUCCAAAGAUCGUAGGCUCGAAUCCUACUUGGGAUG